ACGCUGGCGGCGUGCCUAAUACAUGCAAGUAGAACGCACAGUUUAUACCGUAGCUUGCUACACCAUAGACUGUGAAUUGCGAACGGGUGAGUAACGCGUAGGUAACCUGCCUGGUAGCGGGGGAUAACUAUUGGAAACGAUAGCUAAUACCGCAUAAUAUUAAUUAUUGCAUGAUAAUUGAUUGAAAGAUGCAACUGCAUCACUACCAGAUGGACCUGCGUUGUAUUAGCUAGUAGGUGAGGUAACGGCUCACCUAGGCGACGAUACAUAGCCGACCUGAGAGGGUGAUCGGCCACACUAGGACUGAGACACGGCCCAGACUCCUACGGGAGGCAGCAGUAGGGAAUCUUCGGCAAUGGACGAAAGUCUGACCGAGCAACGCCGCGUGAGUGAAGAAGGUUUUCGGAUCGUAAAGCUCUGUUGUAAGAGAAGAACGGGUGUGAGAGUGGAAAGUUCACACUGUGACGGUAUCUUACCAGAAAGGGACGGCUAACUACGUGCCAGCAGCCGCGGUAAUACGUAGGUCCCGAGCGUUGUCCGGAUUUAUUGGGCGUAAAGCGAGCGCAGGCGGUUAGAUAAGUCUGAAGUUAAAGGCUGUGGCUUAACCAUAGUACGCUUUGGAAACUGUUUAACUUGAGUGCAAGAGGGGAGAGUGGAAUUCCAUGUGUAGCGGUGAAAUGCGUAGAUAUAUGGAGGAACACCGGUGGCGAAAGCGGCUCUCUGGCCUGUAACUGACGCUGAGGCUCGAAAGCGUGGGGAGCGAACAGGAUUAGAUACCCUGGUAGUCCACGCCGUAAACGAUGAGUGCUAGGUGUUAGACCCUUUCCGGGGUUUAGUGCCGCAGCUAACGCAUUAAGCACUCCGCCUGGGGAGUACGACCGCAAGGUUGAAACUCAAAGGAAUUG
rnacentral:rRNA from 1 species